CACGGACCGCACGAACGUUAUUCGGUAUCACUGGGCUUAAAGGGUGCGUAGGCGGCUUUGCAAGUUGGGUGUGAAAGCCCUCGGCUCAACCGAGGAAUUGCGCUCAAUACUGCCGAGCUCGAGAGAGACAGAGGUAAGCGGAACUAAUGGUGGAGCGGUGAAAUGCGUUGAUAUCGGAAGGAACACCAGUGGCGAAAGCGGCGCGCUGGACCUCUUCUGACGCUGAGGCGCGAAAGCCAGGGGAGCAAACGGG
rnacentral:rRNA from 1 species